AGUGCAUCACUGUGGGGGCUGGCUUUGUAGUCUCCUGUGCUCAAGCUACACUCAGCAUGGGACACAGUGUCCUCUUCUGCUGCCUGAAUAUUAAGAUGUAGCACUCUCUGCUCCUUCUCCAGCACCAUGUCUGCCUGCAUGCGGCCAUGCUCCCCACCAUGAUGAUAAGGGACUAAACCUCUGAAACUCUAAAAUGUUGGGGAUGGGUGCUUGGGCUCCCUAAUGCAUAUCUACUAGACUCAUCUUCAAUACCCACAAUGCCUUGGACUCACUAAUGCAUACCUACUAGACUCCUCUUCAGUGCCCAUGAUGCCUUGAGUAAAGGACUGUCAGGUGUUGGUACCAACUCUGGGCAGCUAAGUAUCUGAGUCAAACUGGAAACAGAACAGAUGCAAUCCUGAGCUGCAGUUACUGGAGUCUGAAGAAGGACACUGCCACGGAUCAUGAUGCUGCACAACACAACUGUGAUAAAACAACAACAAAACCUGACUACCAAAGACCUCCCUAGGACCACAAAAUGCUCCUGCUGUCUCCUCUAACAUAACUUACACGCACUCUAUUCAUAUGGCCUCCUGCCCAUGAGUCAUUUGCAGACAAGAAUUAAAAUGUUUUGACUAGGGUCAGAGAGCAGCAUUUCAUAUGUAUUGUAAUCUUAUCUAUGUUCUUAUUUCCACAGAGCCACAGUCAGGUUUAUUUAGGCAAAAGACCACAGGGCUGUCCUUUUCCACUCUGUUAUUCUGAGCAUUCUUUCUAGGCCAGGCAAGCAAGGCAGCUGGUAACUUCCAUGUAAACAGGCACACCAUGGAGAUUUAGAAUUGUGGGCUCUGCUUGCAUCCUUGAUAGCUAUUGUGAGAUAAAAUUAUGUUGCCAGCACUGGUGGCCAGAAAAGGUAGGUGUGUGUGUGUGUGUGUGUGUGUGUGUGUGUGUGUGUGUGUGUGUGUGUGUGCAUGUGUGUAUCUGUAUGGAGGGGUGUGUGUACGUGUAUGUGUGUGUGGAGGUGUGUGUGUAUGGUGUUCAUUUCUUGCUCAAUAGACUGCUUUUCAUUUGCUUUUCAUCAACACACACAUGAGAUAGAGAUAGAUAGAGAGAGAGAACCAGAACCAUUUUAAUGUUGGCAUUACCCCCUCUGCUUCCUAAACUGUGCCCCAUGAUGAACUAUGCCAUCAUAGGUUCUAGUAUAAUAAACUUCUCCAUGGUAAAUUCUCCCUCCGUGAACUCUAUCAUCAUGAACUCUUUUCCCAAGGUGACAGCCAGUACCCUCUUGAGUCUUGAUCUCUUCCCUUAAGUUGCUUCUAUCAGGCAUUUGAUCCCAAGAACAAGAAAAGUAAUCAUACAUUAAACCAAACCCAGCCCUGAAACAGUCUUCUAGUGGUGUGGGAAAACUAAGCCUCAAUGGGCCUAGAACAUAUAUAGUAGAUAUCUCCUGACAGCUGGCCUAGACUGAUAGUAAGAACAUGCCCAGCAGGUAUUUCUUGACAGCCAUCCUGGGUCUGCCAGAGGGCCUUGACAACAACAAACUGGAGAUGACAUGGACCUAUGGACAGCGACCACAUCACCUCAGCAGAUGCCAAUUCAGGGCAUCCCCUCUCCUGGAGCAGGGUUGAGGGGUAUAUAAGGCUUACCUCUUCCUAGAAUAAACUGAACUUGUUGGUUCAACUUUUUCCCAAUGCCUAUGUCGUUGGUGUCACAUCUAAUGUCCCCCCUACCCCCAAGGGACAACUGUUGUGAUCCUGCAGCACAGUGGGGCACAGAUUUCCACUGACAUCUCU
ensembl:lncRNA